rnacentral:rRNA from 1 species
UACGUAGGGUGCGAACGUUGUCCGGAAUUGUUGGGCGUAAAGAGCCUGUAGGCGGUUUGUCGCGUCUGCUGUGAAAAUCCGGGGCUCAACCCCGGACUUGCAGUGGGUACGGGCAGACUAGAGUGUGGUAGGGGAGACUGGAAUUCCUGGUGUAGCGGUGAAAUGCGCAGAUAUCAGGAGGAACACCGAUGGCGAAGGCAGGUCUCUGGGCCACUACUGACGCUGAGAAGCGAAAGCAUGGGGAGCGAACAGGAUUAGAUACCU